AUGUUUCUGCGGUGUACGUAUCCUAAAUAAUUCAACCGACAUUGUGUAGACGGGAGUCUGAGUUCAGUAAUCUAUGGUAUGCCUUUUGUAGGAGGAAACCAAAAGUUAUUGACAGGAAACCCACCUUGUGAGAGGCGGGUCUGAAUUAGGUGGGAGGCGGCAUUGCGGGAAUACA
rfam:Sporanaerobacter acetigenes DSM 13106 genome assembly, contig: EJ96DRAFT_scaffold00011.11